rnacentral:rRNA from 1 species
UACGUAGGGUGCAAGCGUUAAUCGGAAUUACUGGGCGUAAAGCGUGCGCAGGCGGUUAUGCAAGACAGAGGUGAAAUCCCCGGGCUCAAACUGGGAACUGCAUUUGUGACUGCAUGGCUAGAGUACGGUAGAGGGGGAUGGAAUUCCGCGUGUAGCAGUGAAAUGCGUAGAUAUGCGGAGGAACACCGAUGGCGAAGGCAAUCCCCUGGACCUGUACUGACGCUCAUGCACGAAAGCGUGGGGAGCAAACAGG